rnacentral:tRNA from 1 species
GCCUGGGUAGUUCAGUCAGUUAAGCAUCUGAUUUCAGCUCAGGUCAUGAUCUUGUAGUUCAUGGGUUCGAGCCCCGUGUCGGGCU